rnacentral:RNase_P_RNA from 1 species
ACGGUUCGCCGGGUGAUCGCGCCUGAUUUCAGGUGAGGAAAGUCCGAACUUCAUAGAGCAGAGCGCCGGCUAACGGCCGGGUGCGGCAACGCAACGGAAAGUGCCACAGAAAAUAUACCGCCCGCAAGGGUAAGGGUGAAAAGGUGCGGUAAGAGCGCACCGCGCAUUCAGUAAUGGAUGUGGCAGGGAAAACCCCGCUUGAAGCAAGGCCAAGUAUGCCGGAAGUCUCCGUUGCUCGCGGGGCACAAGUUCCGGCGGGUAGGCCGCCCGAGGUGCUGAGUAAUCAGUAUCCCAGAUAGAUGAUCACUGCCCGCAAGGGUACAGAAUUCGGCUUAUAGGCGAACCCAGCAA